rnacentral:rRNA from 1 species
ACACGUAGUCAACAUGCCCAGGGGACGUGGAUAACCUCGGGAAACUGAGGAUAAACCGCGAUAGGCCAUGAUUUCUGGAAUGGUUCAUGGCCGAAAUCUAUAUGGCCCCUGGAUUGGACUGCGGCCGAUCAGGCUGUUGGUGAGGUAAUGGCCCACCAAACCUGUAACCGGUACGGGCUCUGAGAGGAGGAGCCCGGAGAUGGGCACUGAGACAAGGGCCCAGGCCCUAUGGGGCGCAGCAGGCGCGAAAUCUCUGCAAUAGGCGAAAGCUUGACAGGGUUACUCUGAGUGAUGCCCGCUAAGGGUAUCUUUUGGCACCUUUAAAAAUGGUGCAGAAUAAGGGGUGGGCAAGUCUGGUGUCACCCGCCGCGGUAAUACCAGCACCCCGAGU